rnacentral:rRNA from 1 species
AACGAACGCUGGCGGCAGGCUUAACACAUGCAAGUCGAACGCAUCCUUCGGGGUGAGUGGCAGACGGGUGAGUAACGCGUGGGAACGUGCCCUUCAGUUCGGGAUAACCCAGGGAAACUUGGGCUAAUACCGGAUACGUGCGAGAGCAGAAAGAUUUAUCGCUGAAGGAUCGGCCCGCGUCUGAUUAGCUAGUUGGUGGGGUAAUGGCCCACCAAGGCGACGAUCAGUAGCUGGUCUGAGAGGAUGAGCAGCCACAUUGAGACUGAGACACGGCCCCAACUCCUACGGGAGGCAGCAGUGGGGAAUAUUGGACAAUGGGCGCAAGCCUGAUCCAGCCAUGCCGCGUGAGUGAUGAAGGCCUUAGGGUUGUAAAGCUCUUUCGUCCGGGACGAUAAUGACGGUACCGGAAGAAGAAGCCCCGGCUAACUUCGUGCCAGCCGCCACGGUAA